rnacentral:rRNA from 1 species
CAAUUUUCUGCCACCGAAUACAUUAGCAUGGGAUAAUGGAAUAGGACCCUGUCCUCCUAUUUUCAGUUGGUUUUGGCAGCGCGAGGACUAGGGUAAUGAUUAAUAGGGAUAGUUGGGGGCAUUAAUAUUUAAUUGUCAGAGGUGAAAUUCUUGGAUUUAUGAAAGAUUAACUUCUGCGAAAGCAUCUGCCAAGGAUGUUUUCAUUAAUCAAGAACGAAAGUUAGGGGAUCGAAGACGAUCAGAUACCGUCGUAGUCUUAACCAUAAACGAUGCCGACCAGCGAUUAGGAGACGUUGAAUACAAAACACCACCAUCGGCGCGGUCGUCCUUGGCGUCUCGGUCCUUCACGGGGCCGGGGCGCGGGGGCGGCUUAGCCCGGUGGCACCGGUGAAUGACUCCCUAGCAGCUUGUGAGA